rnacentral:misc_RNA from 1 species
AAGUCGUAACAAGGUUUCCGUAGGUGAACCUGCGGAAGGAUCAUUAACACUUUGUUAACAACCAAUAUCAACCAAAUGUGAACUGUAACGUCCCUAUUCGUUAUUGUUUAAUGUUUCGGCAUUAAUGCAGUAAUGCGAUAGACAAUACCCCCUUUAGUAGUUGUCAUACUAGGCCUCAAAACUUUGUAUGAUGAUGAAACCUAUAUUAACCAAUUUAACCCUAUAACAUAAAUUGUCUAAUCUUCAUAACUUAUCGAACUGCUUUCGGGUGGUUAAAUAAGAUUUACGAAAUAUUGAACAACUCUUAGCAAUGGAUAUCUUGGGUCAU